AGAAACUACAGGGUGGCCAGCAAAAGCCGUGAAUGCAAGGAGGAUGUGACUAAGCCUGAAAGGAUCACAGUGCCAGCCACCCUGAGGUAGGAGUGAGUCAGCAGAAGCAGGCCGCUGAGUUUCCAACAGCAAUCAUCUUGCACUUGCACAACAGGGAAACAGGAGUGUCAUCAAAAGUAAAUUCCAGCCGAGACAUUCUCUCCUAUAUGAGAAGCAAAAGUAAGUCCCUCUGAGCUUUUGAUCAGUCUGGGGAGAAGGAAAUGAGAAUGCAUAAGGCAAAAAUCAGAUAAAUGUGUUUUAAUCUAGAAUAGCCUCGGUGAUCCUGAUUUGAUAAAUUUAAGUAUUUUACCAGUAGUGAGCAUGGAAGUCACUAGGUUCAUUUGGAAUGAAAUAAUAUUUCAUCUUUGUUUAAGCUACAUGGUGUGCAAAGAUUACAGCUGCUACAAUAGAAGUUAAAUCAGGAAAGUCAGGUGUCAGAAACAGAAGAGGGGGUUUCAAGAAAGAGCACAGGUUAAACUCUAAAAAAUCCUGAAAAGGUUAAACAAGAAGUUUUGCAUCUUGGUGAGCGUUGAAGCCAGACUGCAAGUAAGAACUAAGUGAGUAGUGAACAGAGAAAGUGAAUGUAGACUACUCUUUCAAAAAAGAUUAACAAUGAAAGAAAGGUGAACAAUAGCAAAAUUUCCUUAGUCUUAGUUUUCUUAUCCAUGAAGUAAAGGAAAAUAAUAAUUAUUAAUGUAAAGUUGAUAUUAGAACUAAUGUAUACAGCGGGAAUAGCAGAGUGUCUUACACAUAUCAGAUGUCUUAUAAAUAUUUGGUUCCGCCCUUUAUUUCAUCCUCUUUUCUUUUUCUUCUUCUGGGAAUGGAACAAGUCAGCAACCUUCUUACAAUACUUUCUCAUGUGUUUGAGCAUUGUUAUUGUAAACUCUCAGCCUUAUUUAUUUGAAUAAAUAACAUGUACUCAGAGAGACAUGAUAUGAUAGGGCUAAUAGGAGUCUCAGGUCAUAUCAUUAUAACUUAAGAAAGUAGCGAUUCAGGUGAGUGAAGUAAGGUCUCCACAAUGACAUGAAUAGGUAGGAGAGCCAGAACUAGAGCAAAGAUUAUUGUUUUCAACUAUACUGUUCUUCCAUUUAGAGUUUGAUCAUUUUCUGAGUAGUCGUACUUACUUUAUUAGUCCAGUCUUUAAUUUGUUCUCACAUUAGCAUGAUCUAGAUCCCAUGUAUCUUAUACAUAAUUUAAAGUAUUAGAUUUAAUCAGAACUCAAGAGAUACCAAACUAUAUCCCUGUCUUAAGUCAUCCUUAUAUGCAUGAUAUAGCAGUCUGUGACUUGGCAUGAUUAGAUCUUAAUUAAACAUUGGUAACUACCUUACAAGUCAGUUCAAUCUGGCAUCAGUAAAUUCCCUCAGGUGUGAAAGAAGAAAUAUCAAAGAUGAUUUUUAGUGCACACAGGGUAUUUGGCACCACUAAAAAUCAAGGCAAACUGGGAAAUAUGAAAAAUAUGUCUUUGCCUUAUAGCUGCCCUGUGGGACUCCCCUACAUUUUUCAAAAUAAGAUAUUUGUAAAUAGAGCAACUGGUGGAGCUAGAAAUGAUCAGCCUCCAGCUUCCAGUGAGAUGUCAAAUAACCUACUUCAGUCUAUGCUUCAAGCUAAAUACUACUCAUCAUUAUCUCUAGGCACUGGGCCAUUGAAGAGACCAAUGCCUCAUCUCUUAUGAAAGAGGAAAAUAGAGAGAUUAGGCAUGAGCAUAUCUAAAAAUGAAGAUAGGAGAAACCAUGAAAGAUCACACUCUACUUCUUUUUUCAUUCUAACAAAUAUUCAUAAUUCUUAUGACUUAAGAUUGCUCUGUCUUCUUAGAAAUUUGGAAUUUCCCCUCCAUUAACUAUGGUCACCUCCUAUAUUGACCUGUAGCUAGCAGCAAUAAAUAUUUGUAGGAAGCAUGAGUUUUCUGUUUUCUAUUCUGCUGGUUAUUCUCUUUCAGCUUUUUCUCCUGUCUGUUCGCUACCUGUCUCUGCUCUACUCUUUGUCUCUGAAAAUUGAUUCUUGCAAGCUGCACCCCACAGGCUCCCUUCUAGGCUGUUUUAUAGUUGUAAUUAGGCUGGUUUAUAGUUGGGUUUAGCCAGUGGGAGGUACCGGCAAUAUAUUGGAGGGAAAGGAGAGAGAUAAGGGUAUUUCUUCCCUACUGGCUGUCUGCUUUGGUGCUGUGAUGUCGGUGCUCCUGCCACAGGAGUGCUGUGAUGGACAUUCGUCACUUAACUCUCUUCCCUUAGAACUAUUUUCCACUUUUCUUGGCCCUGCAUGGGGCCCAGAAGACUGACCUCUGUGGAUUGUAUCACUCUCAUGCCCUUUGGCUUCCACUCGGGUUCAGCCAAUGGGAGAUACCAGGAGGAGACCAAGGAGAGGGUGUUUUCUGUUGUCUCACCUUGACGCUGUGUUUCCAGUUCCUUUCCUCCGUUGAUUACAGAUUCAGUCAAACAGCCCCUCCUCCAUGGCUUCCGUUCUCAUUAAGUUCCAGUGUUACCAUAGGCCUAGUGAUGGAAUGGUUUCCCAGUGUUGCUUGUUGGAUUCCUUAACUAUGUCUAUUUCUGUAUAAACGAUCCUUUCUUUAAAAUCACUUCGCUUGAAACAUCUGAGAGGAAUUCUAUUUUCUCCUGGGAUCCUGAUUGACACAUCUGAAAAUGGAAAGCAUGACCAAAGUCCAAAUUCUAUACCCCGUUUCCCAAAAUAUUUGAAAGAAGAGACCCUCAAAUGGAAGAAUGAAGGGCAGCAUCUGGAAAAAUUGGGAUGGUAAUUCCUGGAACAGGGAGAUGAGCUUGAAAUAAGAACGUGAUGAGCUUGAGCCAAUAAACUGACUAGGACCAACAAUUGUCUCUCAGGAUAUUACACUGCAGUUCUGGCCAUACUUGUCAGCUUCUUUUGGUUCCUGGAAUCCAAAGACUUACUGGGUUCUUGGACCAUGUCAUUUCUGCAUCCUGUAACAAAACUCACUCUCUUCCAUCCUCCCUGUGGCUAUCUCAUUCUCAACCUCAGGCCUGGGCUUUGAUAUUACCAUCUCAGUGAGGAUCUUCUGACCAUGCUCUCUCAGGUUAAUAUCCUUUCAUUAUCCUAUAUAUCAGUUCACUGUUUGAGUCCUUUAUAAGAUUUUUAAUAGUGUUUAAUUAUUUUAUGCAUUUUUCUUUUCUGUCAAUUGUCCCCACUAGACAAUUGUAUGUAUGUCCCCACUAGAAUGUAUGUUUCAUGAGGAUAGGGACUAUGACUUGUUCAACUUUAUAUCCCCAGAGCCUAAAAUAGAGCCUGGAACAUGAAAAAUAAUAUUUGUUGAUUAAGUGAAAUAAUGAAAGAAUUGGAGAGAAAGAGGUGGCAUGCAUACUAUAUUUUUCCCUUUACCCCAACUAAUUGCAGGCUUCUUAGGCCACUACAAAUAUCACUAUGCCCCCCUAAAAACUCAUUCUGUAAAUACAGAAAAUAAUAGGUGGAAAUACCUGAGCUAAGGACCUGACUAGAAGAAUGUUUUGGGUGUAGUGAGAAAAAUAUAGGCUUUGGAACUAAUAGCCACAUAUUAAAUCCUGAAUCCCUUAGUCAGUAGCUCUUUAGCCUUGGCCAAGUCAUUUAUUAAUUCUGAGCCUUAGUUUCUUCAUCCAUAAAUGGAGAUAAUAAUUUUUACUUAUGCAAUUGAUGGGCAAGUACUUGGCAACAAUGUGCACUCUGUAGAUGCUACUGCAAUGGCAAUACAAUUACUCUUAAAUAAAAUUUUUGUUGUCAACAUUUUCAUUGAUCAACGAUCUUGUUUAUCUCAUCCAUUGUUGUAUUUAUGGUGUAUAUAAUAUUGCCUGACACUUUCAGAUGCUCAAUAGGUAUUUGUUGAAUGAAUAUCUGUGCUUUAAGGUAAUAAAUUAAUGACAUGUAUUCAGACAUUCAUGUAUUCUGACAUUUUGGUAAGCACUUUAUAUGCAUCAUAUCAUUUUACAUCUGCAUGAAGUAGAUACUAUUCUUUUUUUUCCAUUU
rnacentral:lncRNA from 1 species